rnacentral:lncRNA from 1 species
CCUUCAACGUCCAAACCAAUAUGAUUUCCAUUCAAAACAAAAUCAUACAUUACAACCAAUUACCAUGAUAAACAUCCAAUUCCAUUAACCAUUAAAUAUCCAACUUACAAUCUCAAGCAAAUUCCUUCAUUACCAUAUUCAACCAACUUACAAUACAAACAUGCCAUUGUAUAAUUACAAUAUGAAUCAUACAUUACAAAACCAUAUAGCACAAGAUCCAUUACAUUAAUCUAAUCACCUACGACCUAAUGUCAAAUUGUGUACAUCGCCAUUUCAAACCUCAUCACCAUAAAAGCAAAGUUCAAAGUCUUCUACAUUUCCAAUGGUCCGUAGAAGUUCCUAUCCGCCUUGAUCCAUGCCAACAUGUCCAUGAUAAUAGCUCCAUAUGACAUCCUGCCGUGAUCCAUUCCACAAACAGUCCAAGCAAAGUCAUGGUAGCCAAACACAUACAACCUGCAUCAUAAACAAUUCCAAAACAUCACAUAUCAAUUCAUGAAAAAAACCCAUCAUUCAUAAUUGCUAAGCAUACUGACAUCCUAUAACGUUUUCACUUGCAAGAAAUGCAUCUUAUUAACAACAAUCCAAGCAUUAUAACAUAGCUUACAUAACAUUCAUCAUCACUAAUUUACCAUGACAACGAAUUCCCAAAGCAAUGCAUCAAACCUAAUAACUAACAAUCAUAUUAGAAACAACGAAACUCACCACAAGAAAAGAAAUCCAUAUGCUAAUUAACCUGCCUUGAAAAUCAAACAAAUUGACAGAGUUUCCAUCAAACAAGAACGGUGCGUCACCAUGUACGAUCCUCCCAACGACGUUACGUACCAAUCCUGCAGCAUUCAUGGGACAUGAUUAAUUGCCAAAAAUGAAAAGAAUUAACUAAGAGCUUCGCAACCAAAUGGCGACAGGAACACAUAUCACUGAUAUAACAAUUCUAGUCUAGCAAUAUGCAAGUCAUGAAUAACAAGGUGCAAGUAAAGUUCAUUGGAUCCAUGUACUUAAUAUGACGAACCCAAUGCGGAAACGCAUCCAAACAAGAAAUUAACCUACUAUAAACAAAGGCAUCAGAACUCACAACAUCAUAACACACUUAGCUUCUCCAAAGGUCAGUACCGAAAGCGAAAUCGCAGAUAAAAGUUUCUCGAGUGAAGGUGGCAAUAGAAAUCGUCCAAUUACCUCAGAGUUAUUGUCGAGACGUGGGUUGGCCCCAGAUUUUUGUCACUUAUCUGCUUGAUAGUACCCUCGAGGCAAUCAUAAACGACUUGGAGCGCUUCAUUUCCCCCCAUAUUUACCACGUCUGGAUGAUGGAAUAGCCUGCAAAAAGGGAACACUGAUAGUGGGAUGUUUUAAACUAGGCUAUUGGAAACCAAUUGAAAGCAAAAACACAAAGACCUCACCAUUACAACAUAGGUAAUGUCUGUAACAAUCUGUGAUAGCUGCCUCGCAAAUCCGAAGUGAGACCUGCUUUCACAUGUUGUACCAGUCUAGAGUUCCUUGACCAUCAUGAAGUCAUUUGCGAAAAACUCACUAUGCAUUUUUCUCUGCAGCACGCCAAGCUAGAGCUUCAAUGUAUAUAACCCUGCAAAGAAUUAAUUGCAAAAACUCACUCAUUAAAUCACAAACGGAGGCGGACCAUUCUAACUAACCUAAGGGUAACCCAUUGGAUCAUUACUCAACCAAUUGAGCUGGUAGUUACAACAAAUUAACCACCCUAACAGAUUUGUGAUUUUUCUAACUAACUCGAGUUUGGGGUGAAGACGAAUGGGAAUUUCAAAAUUGAAUAACUAAAAAGGUUAUAAAUACUCACCAAGCCUCAUUCACAAAGGAUCGAAUUUUUGGAUUCUCAAUCUCCUUUGCAAUUUUCGCUGCCCCUUUCUCUUACCUUCACUUCAAAGCUCAUUCUGGAUUGUUUUUCAGAGCUCCCCAUUGAAGCUACGAAACAAUAAGAGCUAAACCUAAUUUUCCGAGAUAAGAAGAAGAAGAAGAACGCGAGGUCACAAAGGAUUCAUAUCGGAAACGCCGUCAUCCUUGGUCCACAUCGUCAUCUUCACUCUUCAACGACUUCCAGGACAGAUCUUCAUUCUGCAGGUAGGCUCGAUCCACCUUUCUUUCUUAAUCUUUUUCUCAUAGGCGUGUGUAAUCACCCGAAGUAGUGGAAUCCCUAACACGAGAGGCUCUAAUUCCCUUAUAUUCUCGCCUAUUUCAGGCUUCAAGACCUAGGGUUUGGUAUCGACUGAAGAUUGGUAGCUAAGACCGGUUUGUUGGUGUGGAAUUUCGAGAAGGGUGUCUAUCAUCAAGAUUUGGUGGCCGCGAUUCACUGUUUGUAUUUUACCGACACGAUGGCGUUUUCUAUUAGUGGAGAAUGAGAAGACGAGAGGGAAAGAAUGAUGUUUUUAAAUAUAAAUAGUGAAUGGUCCAUCCCUAAUAUCUUCAUGCGUGUUUAAUAUUUGGUGGCUAGUUAAUGAGUUUUUAAUCCCAAGACUUAUUGGUAAACGAUUAGUGUAAGACUCCAAUUUUGACCCUAAGAUCCCUCAUGCAAUUUCAUCACAUACAUUAGCAUUGGAAUCAUACUUUGGCAUCCUCCUUACCCCUCUCUCAUUGGGUUUUCUUUGGGAGAG